rnacentral:rRNA from 1 species
UGCCAGCAGCCGCGGUAAUACGAAGGAUCCAAGCGUUAUCCGGAAUUAUUGGGUUUAAAGGGUCCGCAGGCGGGCUAUUAAGUCAGCGGUGAAAUCUUUCAGCUUAACUGGAAGCUUGCCGUUGAAACUGAUGGUCUAGAGUAGUUGUGUUGUGGUUGGAACGUGCAGUGUAGUGGUGAAAUACAUAGAUAUUGCGCAGAACACCGAUUGUGAAAACAGAUCACAAACAAUUUACUGACGCUGAGGGACGAAAGCGUGGGGAGCAAACAGGAUUAGAUA